rnacentral:lncRNA from 1 species
CGGAGAGACCAGUGAGAUAAACAUGCCGCACAAUCGCAGAAUCGCAGGCAGAAGGGAAAACGCUCGUGUCCGCACACACACAGGGACGCGAAUCUGACAACAUGAAUAUAAAGACAAAGAUGGACAGCAAAUUGCUAGGAAAAGAUCAUCUAACUAAAUUUCUGCUGAUUUGGUUUGACCACUUAGCAGCAGCUAGUCCUCAAUGAAAACAAGGGGUAAGAAGAAUGCUGGAGAAUUAAAGAAGAAAUCCUAUAACAGAUUCUGGAGUGACAUAACACACAGAAAUUUGGAGUGAAGCACUUUUCCAGCUUAAAAUAAUAUAGAAGAACUUCAGGAAAGAUCUGUUUCACUUAGGUGGAUAAAGAGUGCAUCCCAGCAUG